rnacentral:rRNA from 1 species
CCUUAGGCCAAAAUACGCCAGCCGGUGGAUAACUCGGCUUGGGGGCUGAGGAAGGGCGUGGCAAGCUGCGAUAAGCUCCGGGUAGCCGCAAGCGGGUGUUGAUCCGGAGAUCCCCGAAUGGGAUUUCCCGACGUCCGACGUUUCGGCGUUGGACGUCGCUCCGUGGCCUCGAGCUACGGAGCGGGAACCGGCCGAACGGAAGCAUCCAAGUAGGCCGAGGA